rnacentral:rRNA from 1 species
UACGGGGGGGGGCAAGCGUUGUUCGGAAUUACUGGGCGUAAAGGGCUCGUAGGCGGCCAACUAAGUCGGACGUGAAAUCCCCAGGCUCAACCUGGGAACUGCAUCCGAUACUGGAUGGCUUGAAUUCGGGAGAGGGAUGCAGAAUUCCAGGUGUAGCGGUGAAAUGCGUAGAUAUCUGGAAGAACACCGAUGGCGAAAGGCGAGCUUUC